GACGAACGCUGGCGGCGUGCUUAACACAUGCAAGUCGAACGGAAAGGCCCUGCUUUUGUGGGGUGCUCGAGUGGCGAACGGGUGAGUAACACGUGAGUAACCUGCCCUUGACUUUGGGAUAACUUCAGGAAACUGGGGCUAAUACCGGAUAGGAGCUCCUGCUGCAUGGUGGGGGUUGGAAAGUUUCGGCGGUUGGGGAUGGACUCGCGGCUUAUCAGCUUGUUGGUGGGGUAGUGGCUUACCAAGGCUUUGACGGGUAGCCGGCCUGAGAGGGUGACCGGCCACAUUGGGACUGAGAUACGGCCCAGACUCCUACGGGAGGCAGCAGUGGGGAAUAUUGCACAAUGGGCGCAAGCCUGAUGCAGCGACGCCGCGUGGGGGAUGACGGCCUUCGGGUUGUAAACUCCUUUCGCUAGGGACGAAGCUUUUUGUGACGGUACCUAGAGAAGAAGCACCGGCUAACUACGUG
rnacentral:rRNA from 1 species